rnacentral:tRNA from 1 species
UGCCCCGUGGCUCAGUUGGCUAGAGCGUGUGACUGUUAAUCACAAGGUCGAGAGUUCAAGCCUCUCCGGGGCAG